CCUGUACCACGUGACCAGCAACAAAAAUCCAUGGCGGCGCACUGUCCUGCAGGACUUUUAGCAAGAUCAGGAUUGGGGUCCUUACUACGGAGAGUAUGUUGUGGUCCCUCAACAGCCCUGCUGUGUCAGCAACGUCGUCGCUUCUUCUGGAGAAAGUGGAAAAGUUCUCAAAAUGUAGUUCGUCCUGCGACUGUGAGGCCUGCUUAUGCAGUACCAAAGCACAUUGUGCGGCCCGACUAUGUAG